AUGUCCUCAACCCUGAUGAAUUAUCUUGCUGGGAUAUCAUCUCAGACUUUUGGACAGAUCUCUUUAACCAACAGACCAGGGGAAAGGAGGAGGAUGACGGGCGGGCUCAUUCUAACGUUCUGUCUGCUGGGAGCAGCUUUGACUAGUUCAGUCCCUCAGUACGAUGUCACGGAUGAGCUCAGGCAUAAUGAUGAGCUAC